rnacentral:rRNA from 1 species
UUAAGAUAGUAAGAGCAUACGGCGGAUGCCUUGGCGAUAUCUGCCGACGAAGGACGCGACAAGCUGCGAUAAGUCACGGGGAGGUGCAAAUGACCGUUGAUCCGUGAAUUUCCGAAUGGAGCAAUCCGGCUGUGGUUAUGCACAGUCACCCAUGCCAUUGAGUAUGGGAGGGAACCGGGCGAACUGAAACAUCUAAGUAGCCCGAGGAGAAGAAAUCAAACGAGAUACCCCAAGUAGCGGCGAGCGAACGGGGCAGAAGCCCAAACCGGAGAAGGAAACUUUUCCGGGGUUGAGGACCGUCAGACGAUAAGGAAGCCCAGCCGAAUCCCCUGGGAAGGGGAGCCGGAGAAUGUGAAAGCCAUGUAGGCGAAGGGCGGAUAAGGACAGACGGCACCAGAGUACCGCGGGACACGAGAAACCCCGUGGGAAGCCGGGGGGACCACCCUCCAAGGCAAAACACAGAUAUCGACCGAUAGCGCAUAGUACCAUGAGGGAAAGGUGAAAAGCACCCCGGGAGGGGAAUGAAAGAGAACCUGAAACCGUAUGUUUACAAGCAGUCGGAGACCGUAUAUAUACCAGGUCGACGGCGUGCCUAUUGAAGAAUGAACCGGCGAGUUAUGAGGUCCAGCAAGGUUAAGCAGGAAAUGCGGAGCCGAAGCGAAAGCGAGUCUUAAUAGGGCGAUAAGUUGGAUUGCAUAGACCCGAAACCACAGUGAUCUACCCAUGUCCAGGCUGAAACACAGGUAAAAAUGUGCGGAGGGCCGAACCUAUAUCCGUUGAAAAGGGUUAGGAUGAGGUGUGGGUAGGGGUGAAAUUCCAAUCGAACGUGGAGAUAGCUGGUUCUCCCCGAAAUAGCUUUAGGGCUAGCCUCGAGGUAGAGAUUGCAGGCGGUAGAGCACUGAUCAGGAGAGGGACCUACCCGGUUACCAAACCCAGUCAAACUGCGAAUGGCUGCAAUUAUACUCGGGAGUCAGACUACGACUUAUAAGGGCCGUGGUCAAAAGGGAAACAGCCCAGAUCAUCAGCUAAGGUCCCAAAUGCCGUGCUAAGUGGCGAAGGAUGUGGCGUUUCAUAAACAACCAGGAUGUUGGCUCAGAAGCAGCCACCAUUUAAAGAGUGCGUAAUAGCUCACUGGUCGAGAGACGCUGCGCCGAAAAUGUCCGGGGCUCAAGCACGGAACCGAAGCUAUGGCAUGACAGCAAUGUCAUGGGUAGGGGAGCGUUCUUAUAAGGAAGAAGCAUUACCGUAAGGAGAUGUGGACAUAUAAGAAGUGAGAAUGCCGGUAUGAGUAUCGAAAAGAAAGGUGAGAAUCCUUUCCACCGAAAGCCCGAGGGUUCCUGAGCAACGAUCGUCGACUCAGGGUAAGUCGGGACCUAAGCCGAGGCGGAGACGCAUAGGCGAUGGACAACAGGUUGAAAUUCCUGUACCGGAUGGAGUCAUUUGAGCAAAGGAGCGACGCAGGAGGGCACAUGAUCGCGCGGCUGGAAGAGCGCGUCCAAGUGCGUAUGCGUAGAGGGAGGCAAAUCCCCCUUUACAGAAGCAGAGACAUGAUGGGGAGUUAAAGGAGACUUUGACGAACUCAUGGAUCCCACACUGCCAAGAAAAACUUCUAGCGAGACGAAAUCCGCCCGUACCGUAAACCGACACAGGUAGGCGGGGAGAGAAUCCUAAGGUGCGCGGGAAAACCCUCGUUAAGGAACUCGGCAAAUUGCAUCCGUAACUUCGGGAGAAGGAUGACCCUGAGUAGGCGAAAGGGAGAAACCCCCGGAACAGAAAAGGGUGGCAGAAAAGAGGCCCAAGCAACUGUUUACCAAAAACACAGGUGCCUGCGAAAGCGAAAGCUGAAGUAUAGGUGCUGACGCCUGCCCGGUGCUGGAAGGUUAAGGAGAGAGGUCAGCGAAAGCGAAGCUUUGAACUGAAGCCCCAGUGAACGGCGGCCGUAACUAUAACGGUCCUAAGGUAGCGAAAUUCCUUGUCAGGUAAG